GCGGAAAUAGCUCAGUUGGUAGAGCAUAACCUUGCCAAGGUUAGGGUCGCGAGUUCGAGUCUCGUUUUCCGCUCAC
rnacentral:tRNA from 1 species